rnacentral:rRNA from 1 species
CGGCGGACGGGUGAGUAAUGUCUGGGAAACUGCCCGAUGGAGGGGGAUAACUACUGGAAACGGUAGCUAAUACCGCAUAACGUCGCAAGACCAAAGAGGGGGACCUUCGGGCCUCUUGCCAUCGGAUGUGCCCAGAUGGGAUUAGCUAGUAGGUAAGGUAACGGCUUACCUAGGCGACGAUCCCUAGCUGGUCUGAGAGGAUGAUCAGCCACACUGGGACUGAGACACGGCCCAG